rnacentral:rRNA from 1 species
AUUGAACGCUGGCGGCAUGCCUUACACAUGCAAGUCGAACGGCAGCAUGAUCUAGCUUGCUCGAUUGAUGGCGAGUGGCGAACGGGUGAGUAAUACAUCGGAACGUGCCCUGUAGUGGGGGAUAACUAGUCGAAAGAUUAGCUAAUACCGCAUACGACCUGAGGGUGAAAGUGGGGGACCGCAAGGCCUCAUGCUAUAGGAGCGGCCGAUGUCUGAUUAGCUAGUUGGUGAGGUAAAGGCUCACCAAGGCGACGAUCAGUAGCUGGUCUGAGAGGACGAUCAGCCACACGGGGAAUGAGACACGGCCCAGACUCCUACGGGGGGCAGGAGGGGGGAAUUUUGGAAAAUGGGCGAAAGCCUGACCCAGAAAGGCCGGGUGGGGGAAGAAGGCCUUCGGGUUGUAAAGCAUUUUUGUCCGGAAAAAAAUGGCUCGGGUUAAUACCUGGGGUCGGUGACGGUACCGGAAGAAUAAGGACCGGCUAAUUACGU